GCGAGCGUAGCUCAAUGGUAGAGCGGUAGCUUCCCAAGCUACAUACGCGGGUUCGAUUCCCGUCGCUCGCU
rnacentral:tRNA from 2 species